AUUUCGUGAAUCAUCGAAUCUUUGAACGCACAUUGCGCCCUCUGGUAUUCCAGAGGGCAUGCCUGUUUGAGCGUCAUUUCUCUCUCAAACCCCCGGGUUUGGUAUUGAGUGAUACUCUUAGUCGAACUAGGCGUUUGCUUGAAAAGUAUUGGCAUGGGUAGUACUGGAUAGUGCUGUCGACCUCUCAAUGUAUUAGGUUUAUCCAACUCGUUGAAUGGUGUGGCGGGAUAUUUCUGGUAUUGUUGGCCCGGCCUUACAACAACCAAACAAGUUUGACCUCAAAUCAGGUAGGAAUACCCGCUGAACUUAAGCAUAUCAAU
rnacentral:rRNA from 1 species